rnacentral:rRNA from 1 species
UACGAAGGGUGCAAGCGUUGUUCGGAAUUACUGGGCGUAAAGCGCGCGUAGGCGGGUCGGUUAGUCGAUUGUGAAAGCCCUGGGCUCAACCUAGGAAUGGCAGUCGAAACUACCGAUCUUGAGUGCCUGAGAGGAUGGCGGAAUUCCCGGUGUAGUAGUGAAAUACGUAGAUAUCGGGAAGAACACCUGAGGCGAAGGCGGCUAUCUGGCGGUGCACUGACGCUAAGGCGCGAAAGCGUGGGGAGCAAACAGG